UAACUUUGACAAUGUCACCGUGCCUUUAUUUCUCUUGGGUGGAUGGUUGGCGGUGGGGUGGUGGGGAUCAGGGUGGAGGUCAACCCUGAUCUCUUCCUUGUUCCUCAGUGCCCUCACCUCUCUUAACCCUGCCCUUGUUUAUGCCCCCGCUGCCGUUCCCUGGAGUAACCAGUAAGGACGGUUAAAUCCGCACUUCAUCAUCUGCAGUGUCCCUCCCUGGAGGGGCGAUCUCGUGCCGCCGGCUUCAGCCGUGCAUGCUGUACAACGUCCUAUCCAAUGUUUUAUUCUUCCAUCCCUGCUGUUUGUGCUUUUUAAAACCAUUUUUGUGUGCAGACAGUCAUCUUAGAUAACAUAUCAUUAGAAACAAAAAGAUACUUAAAUCGGUAGGAAGAUUACUGCCGGCAUGGACGUGGCUUAAAGUGGACCCGAUCCCUUAACGCAGCACUCUGUUCGAACGGACAUGCUUUCCGCUGUUGGUUGUUUCGAAGAGACCGGCGUGGCCUUCGAUCAGUCACAGCUAAGCUUCAGUGCUUUUCCGGAAGCAUGCGGUUUUGUACCGCAGUGGUACAAAACGAUGUCCGAUGUCCGUGUGAAAUGCACAUAUAGUGCGAGACGCUUAUCAUUUGAAAAUUUAUUUUUCAUAUAAAAAAGACACUAUGAAAACAUCAGAGGACUACUUUUUCUAUAAUUAUACAGAUAUUUAUAAAAUAAAACAGGAGAAUGAGAGCAGGAGGAGGGGAGGGAGAGAGAGAAAGAUAGAGGGUUAAGGGAGAAUUUCUCUUGAAGCAAUACUCCAAAUGAAUUAAAGAGGGGACCGGAUGCUUUUGCUGUACUUGUGUGUUAAUAAGCCUGUGUGCAUAGUUGUUCAAAACUUUGAAAUGCGCAGUUCACUGUGUGUUGGUGUGACAUGAAUGAUACUGCAGGCUCUUUGAACUUUCCAAAAGACACUCAAAGGGCAAAGCCUAGAACAAGUAGAUCAAGGACAAGAUUGUUGCGUGAUGCCGCUUGGUUAAUACUUCACUGUGGAUGUGAACUUCCAAACAGCUUCAGACCCUAACAAAAAUAAACCAUAGCACUCACCUUCCUUUGAGAAUACAACAGAGAAAUCCCCCGACAAGCAUGAAUGAAUCGUGACGGAAAAACACUAGCAGCGGAAUCAUAAUAGUAAUAAUAAUGAUCACAAUAAUAUUUGAAAAUAAUUAUCAGACACAUUUUUCAGAUUGAAGAUGAGACUCCUGAAUCGUCCAUUGCAACUCGUUAAUAGUGCAGUUGCCGCUGCGGUCCAGAUUGACUCGAAGUGGAAGAUCGCUGAGCCAACACACCCUUCUCACAAGGUUGUACAUGGGAGAUGGUGUCAACAGGCUCUGGUCCAGAUGUCUGGAGACCAUGUAGAGACCAAGCGUGACCUCGCGGAGAGCAAGGUGAAUGUGAACCCGGAAAACACACGACUUGGGGGCCCCAGAUCUAUCCAUCUACCCUCCCUCCCUCUCUCUUCCGCGAGGGAGGGAGGGAGGGAGGGUAGGUGGUUAUUUUUUCUCUGCGUAUCGCCGAUUAGCUUGAAAAGGUUAGCUAGGACUGUGCUCUUGUCUUGCCAUCUGCACUGCGCUGCGUUACCACACUAGGGAUCUUUAAACAGAUGGUUUGAGGGUUGUGUCUGAAAAUGUCAGGACAAAUCGCCAUCCCCGUGGUAAUUACUGUUUUCCACUCUCCCUCUCUUGAUCUGCAUCCACUGCUGCCCCUCUUUUGAUUUACUUGCCAUCCCCCCCCCCCCUUUAAGUCUGCCGUUCUCUCCUACACUGUGCUAUCAUCUAUCUGCCCACUAACGUUCGGCUAAUUGGAAGGCUGUGUAAAAAGACAUGGAGGGAAGUUAUCGGGCCAUCUACUGCGUUCAUGGUGCACUCUGACCAUCUCCCCUCUCUGCUGGUGUUUUGCAUGAGUAAUAUGCUAAUGCUUCCACGGCAAAGAACUAGACCUUCCAUUUGUUUUUUGGGAGACUGCAAUCUAAAAAUGUCAGGUAAAAAUAUCUUUCCAUCAGGCUCCCCCUGGCAUUUUGACUCCCCCCUGUCUGCCCCCCCCCCCCCAGCCUCACUGCUUAAUUUAACAUCCCUUCUGAUUGGCUACUUGUCUCAUCCUUUAGGAUCCCACUUUGUCUCUUUCUGCCUGAAUGACGUCAUCACGAUCCGUCCUCGACUGUCUGUAUGUCUGUCUGUCAGCGCCCCCUCACCAUAUAUUAAGCCCAUAUGUAUUAAUGCAAUGUCACAUUAACAUUUGAUAUCAUCUGUUUUUCUUCUUCUAUUUAGGGGGGGCAGAUUGGAACACGUCAAUGGUGGAUAAAACAAGGACCAAUGGGGGAGGAGGGGGGGCGGGGGCAGAACUCCAGAGGACACGUUGGUCAGAGCACAGCCUCUGCCGUCUCCGUCUCUUUGUGCACGUCUUUCCCCUCCACCGCAGCAGUUGCUCUUGAUCGCAAAUGGCAAGAGAGCGUAGGCUGCCACGUCUCAGCAAGCAGUCUGGAGGGCACGAGGUCAUUUCCUUAGUAACUACAGGGGAUGAGCGGGCUGGCAAACCAGUCGAUACCUGGCUCUGAGCAGGGUAUUGAUGCCUGUGUAUCAGGCCUGUAUGUGGGAAGGAGGGAGUCAUGGAGAAAAUAUGAGGCGAGUUUUGCAGACUCUUGAAUGGCACAGCAAACAGCCCACGAUGGGAACGUAUCUCUGGCGUUUUUCCCAAAAUCGAUUCCAAUGUUGCAUUCUUCCGAAUGGAAAUAUUCCCAAGGAGUGUGUGUGAGAGGGUGAGAGAGUGUCAAGUGGGCAAUAUUUGUUCUUGUUGUUUUCCAAUCGGGACGGAGCAACAUGCAACACACACAGGACCUCAGGCAAGCUCACAAAGAUGAGGUGUGUGUAUAUGUGGAAUAUUGGUUUGGUUUUCACAAGGGAUAAACCCUAAUAAAGGAAUCUAAAAAAAGGCAAAGCAAGCAAAAAGCCAGACGAACCAAAGCAAUCCCAAAAUAAAUUGAUUAUUCUUGUACAAUUAAGACCGUAGAACAUAAUUGUGCAGAAAGGGUUCUUUGUUGAUCCUGUUUGACUUUUGAUAUAAUUUUCCUCAACAGUUUAACGUUAGGGAGGACAUCUCAUAUCUAAAUCAUAGAAAAUACAAAGAAGGGGAAAACAAGAUUACAUUGCAGACGGAGAAGAGAAGACGUAGCAGAGGAAUGGCACAUAUCAUUAAACGACUCUUUUUUUCCCUUCAACCCCGACCAACUCUCCGGAACCAUCUAUAGAGAGAAACGUACAGUAAAAAAAAAAAAGAGUGCUUGCAUCCUCCAUUACACUGGGAAAGAAAACAGAAGAUGACUGGGGGGCCUAGGGGGACUAACGGUGUGAAAACAGCAGUGAGAUUUUUUUUUUCCUUUCUAUAAAAAGAACUUAACGGUGCAGAAAUAUUCUUUUCUUUUUUCAACUUUUUCAAAAUCAUUAAACAGGUGAAAGAGAUUUUCCUUUUUUUUCUUCAUCUUCUCUAGAAUAAAAUCAAGACAUUAUUUUUCAGAAACCGUUCAUCGUCCAUAGGGUCUUUUUUUUUCUGUGGUUGUUUUGUUGGAUUUUCUUAAAGGUCUUUUAUUUUUCUCAAAAAGUGUGUCUGUACUUGCUUCAAGCCCCUGUUCUUUCAUUUUUGAUAGUCUUUGUGAAAAUAUAGAAUAGAACAGUUUACCUCCAUGUCAGUCCAGUGCAGCCGUAAACAAUUACAGUAAGCAAUCUAAUAGAACACAUCGCAGGAGAUUUGGAGCAGAGUCUGUAAAAGUGUGUGUGUGUGUGUGUGUGUGUGUGUGUGUGUGUGUGUGUGUGUGUGUGUGUGUGUGUGUGUGUGUGUGUGUGUGUGUGUGUGUGUGUGUGUGUGUGUUCAUACGUGUGUUGUGUGCGCCCAGUGGUUUGUACUUGUUCACUUUAGUUUGCCCUUUUGAGUAGCUCGGGACUUUGAAAGUCCAAUCUCGGAUUCUGAGGGAGUGUGUACGUUUGUGUUUUAUGUGUGUGUGUCCUAGUUUGCUUGCGGGUGUGUGUAUAUGUAUAUGUGUGUUGUUUUUCACACUUCAGUCUGAAAAUCUCCUUCGGAUGAGUCUGGCGUGUUAGCGGAGGAAGAGUCCCAUGUCUUGUUGUGCAGCUCCAUGCGGUCCUUCUGUUCCCCAGGGACGAUGCACAGCUCGGGGGUCAUGGUCUUGAAGCUGUCCCAGGAGUGCUGGUCGUCUGGGGUCGACUUGUCCUGUUAGGGGAAAGGGAGGGGAGAGAGAGACAGAGAGAGUAAAGAGAGAGAGAGAGAGAGAGAGAGGAGAAAGAGAGAGUUGGAGGGAGAGAGAGAGAGGGGAGAAAGAGAGGGGAGAAAGAGAGAGUUGGAGGGAGAGAGAGAGAGGGAGAG
ensembl:lncRNA